CACUCCAGUUUUGUUUUUGCAUGAAAUUGUAUCUCAGUCUAAGGUCUCAUGCUGUUGCUGCUACUGUCUUACUAUUAUACAACUUUCAGAAGUAAUUUUACAACCUUUGGGAGUCAUGGGCCCAUUGUUCAUUUGUGCAUCAAGUGUCAUCUUCUUUUGGUUUUUGGUUUUCCCUAGCAGUGAAGGCUAUAUGAGAUACACUGAUUCUAGGUACAUUGUUAACUUUCUAGGAGAUAAAUCAAGAACUAAUUAGACUAAGAAGAUUUAGUUUCUAUUUCUGAACAAGCAGUUGUUAAAGGGUGGUGGUGUGUGUAUGUAAGAGUUUAGCAGCGCAUGUCUGACCAGCACAUGAAGUGUGUAUCACUGACAUUUGGCUGGAAAUCCUUAGGAAACAUUGAGAGGACUGAAGGGCCGAUUUGAGAUACACAUAGCUUUUUAAUUCCUGCUGGAUAUUGUGGAGGAAGCCCAGUGCCACCUAUGGACACCCAGAUUUCAAGGGCAGAUGGAGACCGUUCAACCAAGCACUGAAGGUGCAGAGUCACCUAGAAAGGCUUAGGGUCUACUUUGUACCAGAGAGUAUUUCCCCUGGGCUUGGCAACCUUUUCCCUUUCUUGACAUUUAUCACCUCUGAUGGCUGAAGAAUGUAGACAGUACAGUGAUCCUGCUGUCACCAAAAUCCAUACACCAAGGUGGACGGGUGUUUGCCUUACCAGUUUUGAAGUUGUUACUUUCAGUUAUAGGUAAAUUAGCUUUUUCUCAGAUGUUAAAACUUUGAAUGUCCUUUAUGGUUUUGUUUCUAUUACGGUAGUAUUUAUUUUUUAGUGGUAAGAAUUGUGUUGUCAUGUUAGCAAGCGCAGCUCCAAUUCGCAGCUCCAAUUCACAGGUCAUUGCCUGUGGUUUCUUUCCACCCAUGUGCAAGGAAUGUACACACCCAUUAGAAUCAUGCACUUUUCUCCUAGGUAAGAAGAAAUGGUAAGGCUCUGGGAUUGUAUCUGUGGUUAGAAUCUGGUUAGAGCCUUUGGGAGAGGAGAUGCUGUAAUUUGACCCCUUGGAGCUGAAAUGAGAAAAUCCCAAUACCCAAUGCCAAGGGGUUGGUAGAGCAAGUGGAUAUGAGAGUAUAGCCUAGCAUAAAGUAAUGGAGAGAGCGGAGACCCGGUGACGAUGAGAAAUGCACUCUCCUCAGCAAAGUGAACACAUCACAACCAUUCACACAGUAGCAAGGAAAGGAUAAGAAGAAGGUGAUGUGUUUAUUCUUAUCAAGGUACAUUCAUUACUGAAUCAAGCCAUCAGGGAAAACAACAAAACAAAACACCUCUAGCUUUUAUUUUUCUGUACAUACUCAUGUCUCCCAACCCAAACAUUUCUCACUGAGAGGGGACAUGUAUGCAAACCUCAUCUUUCUCCUUCAUUAAUGAUGAUCUUCAGAUUAAACCCUUUGGUGCUAGGAGCUGACACUUUCCAAAGCAGACUAUGAAGUCCAAGGAUCAAAGCCUUUCUUGCAGCAAGCAAGAGGGCAACUGCUGCUCCAAGGAGUGAUUACGGAAAUGGAUUCCAGCUACUGACUGGCAGCUCCCAAAUGGAAGACGACAGUGUGACCUAGCAGUGUCACUGCAGUGUGGGUGUGCGUAGGAAGUCAUGCUCUCAUGCAGAUGUCUUGGCCUCUGGGCUCGGACUUAGGGAAGCAGAGCCGCUGCUGGCGGUGGCUGGCCGC
rnacentral:lncRNA from 1 species